UCCCUGAUGGUCCAGUUGCUAAGACUCAUCACUUCCAAUGCAGGGGGCCCGGGUUCAAUCCCUGGUCAGGAAA
rnacentral:tRNA from 1 species